rnacentral:rRNA from 1 species
AACGUAGGUGGCGAGCGUUAUCCGGAUUUACUGGGCAUAAAGGGUGCGUAGGCGGCUUGUUAAGUCAGGGGUGAAAGUUUUCGGCCCAACCGGAAAAUUGCCUUUGAUACUGGCGAGCUCGAGUGCGUGAGGGGUAACCGGAACGAGCAGUGUAGCGGUGAAAUGCGUAGAUAUUGCUCGGAAGGCCAACGGCGAAGGCAGGUUACUGGUACGCAACUGACGCUGAGGCACGAAAGCGUGGGGAGCAAACAGG